GUUUUUUUUGUUUUUGUUUUGUAUAGCCCAACUUUCUAUUAGCUUUUAUCCCAUCAUAAUGCCGUCCUUCAGUUGUCUUUUUCUUUACUGUUACUAUUCCCAGAUUUAUGUAAGAUGUGUGUGCGUGCAUGUUAAUUAUGUAGAAUCUAUCUGUUGAUGGUAUUCAUGUAGGCUAUUUAUAAGAAAAGAAAAGAACAGAAAAGAACAUGCCGAUUUUCACAUCGGUCUGCAGAAAAACAGCAACGGGCUGAAUGAAAAUGUAAAAUGUGACUCUUCCAUCCAGAUAGUGGUAUUCUGUUUUUAUUGUUAUUUUUAUUUUUUUAUGCAUUCCAUUUUUAUUCUUAUGUAUUUGUUUCCUUUUUAUGUAAAGCACUUUGAAUUACCAUUGUGUAUGAAAUGUGCAAAAUAAAAUUGCCUUGCCUUGCCUAAUCGACUCUCUGACAGUAGGUGGCGCUGGAACAGAAGAAAUAAAGCCGUUUCCCUGGUAACCUCUGUACACAAAGCAGCUGUGCUUAUAACAACGCAUUCAAAUAGCUCGAAAGAUUUUUUACCUCUCUUAUAAAAAUGAACCAUGGUUUUACUACAAAUAAAAGAAAAUGGUUAUUGUAGUUAACCAUGGUAACCACAAAUUAACCAUAGUUUUGCUACACUAUAGUUUAUGGUAUUUGUAGGUCAAUUAUUGUUAUACAAAUAGUAGCCUAUCAAUCCGACAAAAAAUAAUAAUAAUAAUAAUAAUAAUAAUAAGGAGGAGAAAAGCGGCGCGGAUGCUUUCAAAUAUAACAGGGGAGCUUCAGUAAACACACGUUCAUCUCCAAAGUGGAUUUACAUGAAUUCUGAACCAUAUACAUCAUAAAGAUGCUUACUAAAUGUUUAUUUAACAUCUGACAGGAACAUCUUCUGUAAGUAUUAUGACUUAUGAGUGAUGGAUUAUGUUCUAUGAGUGAGGUAUGUGUGCUAUUAUGUAGAAUUCACUGUUGUCAAAACUGUUUACAUGAAUGAAAAUAAUGUAAAUAAAUAAAUCUACCUAAAAUAAACAUAAGUUAUCUAUUGUAUUUGUCCAUUAGUACUGUUGAUAAAUUAAGGAACAUAUAAAAAGUGAGUUAACAGAUCAUCAACUACCUCAACAUGUAAAUGUAGUAUUGAGCACAUAAAUCUCAGAGGAAACUUGAAUCUUGUCUGAUGUUACAGGGACAGAUGAUCACGUGUGUUUAUCCGGUGGAGAGAGGCUGAUGAAGGAAUGGUGCCAUCAAAGGCUUUGAGUGACGAUACUACAGAAAUGAAUAAAAAAUCUACUUAGAUCUUAAGUUGUAGUUUAUUUUAAUUAUUGUAAUUUCAAACAGAGUUAUUACAGCACUUUUCUGAUUCUUGAUGUCUGUACAUUUGCUGCAGAGCUUUUGUGGAGCAGGACCUGCAAGACAAGGUGACGGCAGCAUUUGUGGGGAAAAAAAGGGAAAACCUGGAACAAAAAUAUAAAGAUGUGAAAUGUCCUCAGACUGGUGUGAGCACUGAGGAUGGAGAGCCACAGCAGGUCCUGGGAAUGGUGUAGAGCCAUGGAUGAGACCCUCCAUCACUCCUCCUGCCCUUACUGCCUCAUCUGGACUGGAUGUUGCUGUGGUCUCUUCUUUCUCAGGAUGAUCCCCGUGGAGUAACCUGGAGUAAAGUGUCUUGCUCAAGGACACACUGGUGGAGACGGCUGCGGUUUAACCCACUACACCACAAAAUCAUGCUGAUGGAGAGCAGCCAGAUUGUCCCACACAUCUUCUCCCACUCUUGCUUCAAGUUUGUGGGGUUCAGGGGUCCAUCAUCAUGGUCUUCCUCAUCCUCUGGAUCAACGAUGUCCCCAUUGAGAAGAGCAGCAGUGAGGGACAUGAUGGAUGACAAAGACAGGUGAAGGUGUUCACGGUGGUCAGCUGCAGAAUGGGCACAGCUGUGUUGAGAUGGCAGCAGGAUGUGGGGAUCAUCGCCCACAAAUACGUGAUUGUUAGAACAAUAAAUUUGAAUAAAGCUUUGUUUCAUGUGCUGUUGACUUGUAUAUGCAUUUAUUUAUUGUUAUUGUUACUUUCAUUAAUUCUUUUACUUUUUUUUUUAUUAAUUAUGCUAUUAUUAUCAGUAAAUUUAUAUAUUUUAUUAAUUCAUGCAUUAAUUCAUUGCUUGACUGUAAAUUGAGAUGUAUUCACAUCAGCUGUAAUUGUCUAGUGUGUGUUCAUGCGUAGCUAUGUCAUAUGACAAAACUUUACAUUUUGCUUGUUUUACUAAAGAAGUAAAACGAAAAGUAAUAUAAUUAAGUUUUGGUCAGCAUUUAUCAAUAUUAUUGUGUAGAAGUGUUGGGGUGGGCUAGCAAUGCAAUUCAUUCUGGGGUAAUCUUAAUUUUUAAGUAGUUUAUACUUUUUGAGUAUAAAAUCUACAGUCUUCUUCAAAGGCGAGAUCUUCGAGCAGCUGCCCGACGUCGUCUUUGUGCAGACAUUUCAAACACUGAGGAAAACCGCACUAGGUAGGGUUGUGGAGUUACUGGUGCUGUGAGGUGUUAGUGCACCUGUCGCUCAUAUCUUUACUUUUAUUGCAGGACCUAUAAUUACAUACAAGAUCAGGGAAAAUACCAUGGUUGUAUCUGUAACAAUGAACAAUAAUAAUGACAAAAAAAAACAAAUAUGGGUUUGUAUACAUCAUAGUUUGAGAUUAAGCAUGAUAACGAGGUUAAAUAUUUUGAAUACAUCAUAAUGCAUAAAAAGUAUUUGUUUGUUUAUUAUUUAUAAGCCUGAGGGAUGAAACUAUAGAGCUAACUCAACAAGAAAAAGACGAAAACGUAAAGGAGAUUUAUGCCACUUUUACUUGUGGAUGAACAUUUUUGCAUAUAAAAUGAAGAAAUUAACAACAUAUUCACGCAAAUUUGGGUUUUCGUAACAAAAAAUAAACUGUGGGUCACAUUAGUAUUUAAAAAUAUAAGAACUUUAAAUUGAUCCAAAACAUAUUAGUUGUACUACAAUCACAAAAUUACUGGGCAGCUGUUUCUUCAACAAGACCACAAAAUAAGCAAGUUUAAUCAAUAUCAAGAUAUUUACAGAUGGAUGAAUUAAACCUGUCACUCAUAUCUUUAAAGUUGUUGCGCUUGUGAUUACGUCGUAGGUCACAUGAUAACGCCAACAUGGCGGAUUAUGUCCGGAUCGCAUUCAUACUCAGUGAGAUUUGGCUAUUAAGUACCUACUCUUUUAGCGCUUGUUAAGUAAGUACUUAUUGAAAUUAAGUACCUACUCAUUGAGUAGGCGGUUUCGGACGCAGCCUGUGUCUACGCAAAGGCGUUCAUUUUCAAAGCGAACAGGUCGCCGGCGCCGCCAUUGUGCAAUAUAAGCUACCCACAAAUUACCGUGGGACGGCGGGUGUUCAUUUCAUACUCUCUGAACAAUGGUAGCUUAUUUAAUGUAUAAAUCCAUAAAAAAACAGUCAAGAAAUGCUACAUACUUUGUUAUUGUGACGUAAUAAUCUGCUUGGUUGUAAAAUGUCGGCUAUUGGCUGUAUGAAUUGAAAUCAAAUGAAAUCGAUACCUGUGGAAUUGUUCACAGACAGCAUACGCAGUUCAACUAAUAAAGAUCUUCAUCGCUGACAAACAAUAGGAAGCAUUUGCAGAUUUGCUUUUAAUUGACUGUAGGUCCACUGCCACUUCAUCCAACACUGAGAAACCGCUUCACUACCCACCUCUGGUUAAUUAUCUGAACCUGCUCCUCCCGAACUUUGUUAAUAAAACAUUUCAAUUCACCUAUAGGUGAAAAGGGUACUUCUUAAACGUUUCCAAAUGGGUCAGGAGCAGCACAGUCCCGAACGAAACAUCCCCAUCUGACUAACAGAGAACCGUAUGGGAACGUUCUGUUAAUGUCCCAAAUGUCCUUUUUGUAACGUUCUUAUGUGACCUUAGAAUAACCAAUAUGGAACGUCCCCUUAAAGUCAUAUAAGGAAACUUGAACUGCAGCACUUUCAUUACCAAAAGAAGAUGUUUUAAGAACAUCCCAAAUUUUCUGUAAAGGUUCAGGAUUUUUGUCACUUUUAGGGAACGGUGUGAGAUGGACGUUCAUCUGCACAUCAUCAGUGUCUCAGUAGUCAGAGUAAAAAUAAAACUACUGAACUAACUAAAAAUAACAUCAGUCAGAAUGUAAAUCAAUAUUCUGUAACUCUAGUGUAUAUUAGUUUGUCUGUUGUAAAUCCUGCCCACUUCUUUGCAUUGUCACACAUGCUUCAGU